CCUAGUAAAAAGCUAGAAUUACAACAUAAGACCAGAAGACCCUGUGAAGCUUAAAUAAAACUAUUAAACCAUAUAAUAGCUACUUUCGGUUGGGGCGACCUUGGAAAAAAAAAGAACUUCCAAAUAAAAUGAAUAUACCUCAUUAYCUAAACAGGCCAACAAGCCAAAAAYGACCCAGCACAGCUGAUAAUUGAACCAAGUUACUCCAGGGAUAACAGCGCAAUCUUCUUCAAGAGCCCAUAUCAAAAAGAAGGUUUACGACCUCGAUGUUGGAUCAGGACAUCCUAAUGGUGCAGCCGCUAUUAAGGGUUCGUUUGUUCAACGAUUAAUA
rnacentral:rRNA from 1 species